AUUGAACGCUGGCGGCAGGCUUAACACAUGCAAGUCGAGCGGGGGAAGGUAGCUUGCUACUGGACCUAGCGGCGGACGGGUGAGUAAUGCUUAGGAAUCUGCCUAUUAGUGGGGGACAACAUCUCGAAAGGGAUGCUAAUACCGCAUACGUCCUACGGGAGAAAGCAGGGGAUCUUCGGACCUUGCGCUAAUAGAUGAGCCUAAGUCGGAUUAGCUAGUUGGUGGGGUAAAGGCCUACCAAGGCGACGAUCUGUAGCGGGUCUGAGAGGAUGGUCCGCCACACUGGGACGGAGACACGGCCCAGACUCCUACGGGAGGCAGCAGUGGGGAAUAUUGGACAAUGGGGGACCCUGAUCCAGCCAUGCCGCGUGUGUGAAGAAGGCCUUAUGGUUGUAAAGCACUUUAAGCGAGGAGGAGGCUACUCUAGUUAAUACCUAGGGAUAGUGGACGUUACUCGCAGAAUAAGCACCGGCUAACUCUGUGCCAGCCGCCGCGGUAA
rnacentral:rRNA from 1 species